GGGGUGGGGGGAGAACCCUCCUUUUCGGGAUUGAGGGAGAACCGGCGAGGGAGGGAGGCUGGCGGCACCGCCGGCAUCCGAGGUUUUCGACUCUGGGCGAGCAAAAGGAUUUCUUAUACUCCCCGGGAAGAGGAGAAGACGCGCUUUUUUUUUUUUUUUUUAAUGUGUUAAUUGCUUUUAAAAUAAAAUACUACGGAAUUUG